CCUUUGAGUCUGUCUGGUCAUUGCCUACCAUCUCCCCAGACAACAAUGCAUGUCGUUUGUCUUCCUUCAUUUCUAAUUUGGCCUCAAACAAUCCUGCAUUUCAUUUCAAAAUGGAUCAAAGUCUUCCCACAAGAAAGAUUUCACGCCAAUGUCGACAAGAGAUCAACAGGUCUCACGGCUGCUCUGUGCCUGUGAUCUGACCAAAAGAUCUGCUCUCUCUGAAAAAUGCAUGUCAUCGUGAGGACAAAUCCUUAAAUAGUGAAAGAAACACUGUGUUUAUCCUCCACUGGACUUUAAAAGGUGUGUUUAUCAGGCCACAGCACUGAGCAGAGGGAUGUGAGUACAAGCGUGCCCAGUCUGCGAGCAUCUCUGUCCGGACCGCUGUAGUAGUCGAGAGAGUCGGUGGUUAACACAAACCAGAACCUCCUCUGCCGGAGCCAGCCUCCCUGCACCUCUCGCAGGAGCCAGCCUGAAAAAGAAAGAGAAAAAUAUCCAUAUUAUUCAAAUAUUGUAACAGACCAAUCUGAGAAUAUGAAGGUUUCAUUUCAAAAACCUAACAGAAAUAAAUGAUGUGUAAUUUGAAAUAUCAUUUUUUGAGAGCCAGCGCAUCACAAUGCUCAUGCAGAGUCAGAAUGAGUGCUCAUGGAAAACGUCGGAACAGCACAAACCAGCCCGUCCACAUCCAGUCGAGAGCAGCGUACCAAACCACCGCUCACACAACUUAAUAGAGGGUUGUGUUAAGGUCACACUGAGAAUAAAAAUCUCCCUCCAGACCUUCAAACCAAGUUUGUUGGCUAUGCACAAAUGUGUAUCAGAGCCAAUUAUCAGGAAACAUUUCAUGGGAAAACUGCUUUUUUUUUUUUUGGGAAACCCUCAUGACACUCGGACCAUGUUACCUUUUUUCCGCUGCUGCUUGCAGAUGUACUGCACCUGCUACCUUUCCCUUUGAAUGUGUGUUUGUGUGUGUGAGAGUGUGAGUGAGUGAGUGAGUGAGUGAGUCAGCCAGACAGACUGGGGAAAGACUGUCUUAUUUAGCAGCUCCGCAGGCCAGCAUGAGACAGGCUGGCGGAGCAUUUGGACCCCACUACACUAAUAUUACUCUGCCCUGCUUAUUAUUACUCAUUACAUGUGAUUGAGUAUUAUUACCACUCCAGUGCAGCAAAUAUCACACAGUGCUCACAUUUACACACUCUGAGAUCAUAGACAACCAUGAAUAACACACACACACACACACACUUAAAUCUGUGGUCAGCAACUUAAGUGUUGAUUAACAAUGUCUAACUGUCUCAAUUAAUGUGCACUGUGCAGUGUGUCAGCCAAUCCGUGUGUCACUGAUAAUACUGCAAGCUAUAACUGAUGCAUGUGUGUGUGGACUUACCUAUAGAUUAGGGACAAAACUGUACACAAAAGUGAGCUAAAGACGACAAAAACUUCCUUUGGGUAUUAAGUGAAUAUUUUUAAUAGUUUUAAUAGUUGGGUUUGUGCCAGAUUAAUAUUGUUUUUUUUCCCAACAAUUAACAAUACUGAUUAUUAGUGUUCAAUAACCGAUAAAAAUAAUGCAACAUUUAAAAAUGUAUAAUAAGCUAAAAAUAAUAAUGUUUCUUUAGCAUCAAAUCAUUAUAUCAGAAUGAUUUCUGAAGGAUCAUGUGACACUGAAGACUGGAGUAAUGAUGCUGGAAAUUUGACAUCACAGGAAAAAAUAAUAUUUUAAAAUAUAUUCACAUAGAAAGCAAUUAUAUUAAAUUGUAAGAACAUUUCACAACAUUCCCGCUUUACUGUAUUUUUGAUCAAAUAAAUGCAUAAAAUAUUAGACAAUACCCAGAUUUUGAACCGCAGUAUCUGUAAAUAAUUAUCAAUAAUGAUUGUUUAAAAUCACUAAUGUCUGCAAACAAAAUUGGUCCAUUUUAUUCAGUUUAUUUGAGUUAAAUUAUAGUAAUAUAAUAUAAUAUAAUAUAAUAUAAUAUAAUAUAAUAUAAUAUAAUAUAAUAUAAUAUAAUAUAAUAUAAUAUAAUAUUUACCUUUAUUUUAAAAUCUAUGGUAUGUCCCCAAUUUCACUUUUUCACUUUCUGAGACCAAUUUAACGGCAUGUUUCAGGAACAAGACAUGCUUUUAGAUAUAAGGUUAUAUUUAGGUUAAGGGUAGGUUUAGAAUAAGGGUUCAGGUUAGGCAUUUCAUUGUGAUGUGUAAGGUUAGGGUAAGGAGUUAGAAAAUGCAUUGUGUCAAUGAAUGUCCUCACAAAGAUAGGCAAGAAUAUGUGUGUGUAGACACUGUUUAGCCUGCUGCGCCCUGGUUUAUAGAGAAGUUAUGAGUUAGAUUUCAGAUUAACUCACUACAGAUAAAGUUACCAGGUGGUCAUAAAAAAAAAAAAAAAAAAAAAAAAACACCUUAGAAAUUGCAAUCUUCACAAUAAAACUGAAACAAGUACAAA